GCACAGAAGGACAGCACCCACUGUAGCCGGGCCCCGGGGCAGGAGUCACAGGGAGGCACAAUUCCCAUCCUCCCUCAGCUCCACUCUGGGAGCCACCCCCAGCCCCAGCUGGAAUAUGGCUCACAGCACGGGAUUUGGAGCUGCCCAGACCUCAUUCCAAGUCUGGUUAUGCUGGUGAAGUCAUUCCACCCAAUACUUUGCCCAGGUAUGUGGUGCUGGACCUCCAGAGGAACCCAGCCACUGAAGGGACAACCCUGGGACAGGACACCAAACAAUGCAUGGCCAGGGAAUCACCUUUGACCGUGACCUGGGAGGGCCUCAGCGACUGCAGGCUGUAGAAAAAGGGCUGUGGGUGGCCAGGCAGGCUCACGGGGGUGGAGACAUCCUUUCCAGGCAGAGGCUUCCCUGCUGCAGUCCUGGCUGGGUGAGGUUUGGUAAAGAGCUAGAGAGACAGGGAACAGACACACAUGAGGGGAGAGAUGCCCAGAGGAGGGGUCGUCCCUGUGCACACUGUAGCUGCACCCUGUC
rnacentral:lncRNA from 1 species